UUUUCGGUAAUCGAGUUCUGCGUCUUAGAGUAAGAGAAUUCUAAAGUAUCCCCACAGACGGCGCCAAACUGUGGAAGUUGAAACUAACACAAUCGAGAUUUGUCUAGGGUUUUAAUUUAGGGAUACGAUAAAAGUGAAUUCUCAAAGAACAACAGAAACAACUGUAACCAAAGAUGGUGUUCUUGAUCUUAUUGAUGAAAAGAGUAGUUUUAAUCAUACAAGAGUUUGAUCGUAAAAGAAAAGAUGUUUGUGCUGUGAGAGCUUUUGCGUAGUGUAAUUUCUAGAGCGAUAUUCCUCCCUUUCUGCGAGAGCCUUGAAUCUCUUUAUAUAGGGGUGAUAAAGCGCCUCUCCCGCGAUAUUCUCGGAAGAUUUCCAUUUAUCUUGAAGUCGGCUUAGAAUAUCGCAGAAUAAGAAUAAUUUCCUUAUUCUUCGGAGUUUCUUGGAAGAUAUCCUGAUUUGAGUCGAUCCUUUGAGAUUCUUCCUUAUCAUUUCCGGGUUUAUCAGAAAUGAUCCUUCUCUUUCGGAAAUGACGACCUACUUGGAAAUGGUACUUCGAAGACGAAUAUUUUACCAAGUCUUUGCCUCGGGUGACUUGUGCAAUCGGCUCGGGGACAAGAGAGGCACGGCCCAGGCUCCCGAGGGAAGCCGGCUCGGGUCCACGGAAGGAGCCAGCUCGGGGGUCUCGACACGAACCGGCUCGGAUUCCCGGAGUGAACCGGCUCGGGCACUUGAAGGGAGCCGGCUCGGGUUCACAAGCUUGCUGACAGACCCCGAGCAGAUUACCGGCGUUCCCCGAGGCAACCAAUGCAGUGACCCGAGGUGAAUGGCAGUUUGCCCCGAGGUGAAUGGCAGUUUGCACCGAGGUGAAUGGCAGUUUGCACCGAGGUGAAUGACAGUUUGCACCGAGGUGAAUGGCAGUUUGCACCGAGGUGAAUGGCAGUUUGCACCGAGGUGAAUGACUCGCUUCACCGAGGUGUCUUCAGAAGUUCCCUGAGGCGUUCGAAGUUCGGCUCGGUGCUAUGGGAUGAAAUCCGACCCCAACACAUCCCCAAAAUGAAAUUCCCUACAUUGUCAAAACAGAAAAAAAAGAUAUUUAGAAGGAAAGAUGAACAAAUAGAUAUUUACUUAAAAGUUCACCAAAAGAUGAAAACUGAGCAAUGGCACUAAAGAAUAGGUUCCACCAAAGAAAGUCAAUAAUGGUACAUAGAUGAUUAAGAGACAGGACUAAAGCUCUGUGUUUCAGUAUUUCAACUUUCUAGCCAAAGUGUAAUGUUCCUGAAACUUUUCUCAGCAUUAAAACCCAUUGGGUCCAAACCAUUUGUACAUCAUGAAUGCAUCCAGCAAAACUCUUACUUGAAUAUUCUCACCAAGUCGCGUUAUUUCACCUCAACAAAACCAUUUAUAUGCAGACAUGUAGCUGCUUGGGAAUAUCAAAAUAGAUUUUGCAAAUAUGAUCCGAACUUAAAACAUAUUACAAUGGAAAUAAAAUAAAAUCCUUCUUAUUAAGAAUCAACAGAAGACAAACAUGAUUAGACAAAGUUUUUUAGUAUAAAGUGACACAAAAAAAAAAAAAAAAUUUCAAAAUUCAAUGUCUCGACACAAGCAUCUUGUGGUUAGAGGGGGUAUGGGCAAACGAUACAUUCAGCACUCAAGAAUUCAUGGAAUUGGAUAAGCUCUUUCUGGGUCCCAACUCUCAUUUCAAAAAGGAAACCACUUUCUUAAACAAAAACUAUUACUGUCCAAUUAUAAAAUUCUCUCAGUCCCCACUAAGUAAUCAGUAAGCAUCUCAAGCUAUAUAUAAGACCACUUUGCAUUCCCCAAAACUUUAAGAAGCAAUAACCAAACAAGAAAACCAGAGAGAGCAGACUUUGAUUUAAAGCUUUUUCAAGGAGUAAAAAAUGUCUGUAAAUGAGUUACCUUCUUCAGCUCAAUACUUCCAAGAAGGAUUCCUUGGCGAUUUUGUCUCUAGAAAGCUUCUUCUACACGACCCAUUUGACCACAAC
rnacentral:lncRNA from 1 species